rnacentral:rRNA from 1 species
UGAGGAAUAUUGGUCAAUGGACGCAAGUCUGAACCAGCCAAGUAGCGUUCAGGAUGACGGCCCUAUGGGUUGUAAACUGCUUUUAUAUGGGGAUAAAGUGGGGAACGUGUUCCCUUUUGCAGGUACCAUAUGAAUAAGGACCGGCUAAUUCCGUGCCAGCAGCCGCGGUAAUACGGAAGGUUCGGGCGUUAUCCGGAUUUAUUGGGUUUAAAGGGAGCGUAGGCCGUUUGGUAAGCGUGUUGUGAAAUGUAGGAGCUCAACUUCUAGAUUGCAGCGCGAACUGUCAGACUUGAGUGCGCAGAACGUAGGCGGAAUUCAUGGUGUAGCGGUGAAAUGCUUAGAUAUCAUGAAGAACUCCGAUGGCGAAGGCAGCUUACGGGAGCGCAACUGACGCUGAAGCUCGAAGGUGCGGGUAUCGAACAGG